rnacentral:rRNA from 1 species
UACGGAGGGAGCUAGCGUUGUUCGGAAUUACUGGGCGUAAAGCGCACGUAGGCGGCUUUGUAAGUUAGAGGUGAAAGCCCGGGGCUCAACUCCGGAACUGCCUUUAAGACUGCAUCGCUUGAAUCCAGGAGAGGUGAGUGGAAUUCCGAGUGUAGAGGUGAAAUUCGUAGAUAUUCGGAAGAACACCAGUGGCGAAGGCGGCUCACUGGACCGGAACUGACGCUGAGGCGCGAAAGCGUGGGGAGCAAACAGG